UACGGAAGGGGCAAGCGUUGUUCGGAAUCAUUGGGCGUAAAGGGCGUGUAGGUGGUUCUGUAUGUCUACCGUGAAAGCGUACGGCUCAACCGUAUUUAGUCGGUAGAAACUGCAGGACUUGAGGCUGGGAGGGGCUGGUGGAAUUCCCCGCGUAGCGGUGAAAUGCGUAGAGAUGGGGGAGAACACUCGUGGCGAAGGCGGCCAGCUAGACCAGUUCUGACACUGAGGCGCGACAGCGUGGGGAGCAAACAGG
rnacentral:rRNA from 1 species